GGUGCCGAUGGCAAGGAGGUCCCACCCGUUCCCAUUCCGAACACGGAAGUUAAGCUCCUUCACGUCGGAAAUACUUGGCUGGCGACGGCCCGGGAAAUUAGAUAGGUGCC
rnacentral:rRNA from 1 species